rnacentral:lncRNA from 12 species
AAGAAACUACCCGUGAACCACAGCUCAAGAGAAACCUGAUGGAAAACUGGAGCAAUGCACAGUUCCUAUGUCAGCAUGGAGAGCACAGAUCCACAUCUGAAUCAUGAGAAGCUCUGGUUAUGGCACAGUGGUGCAGAGUGGAGAGGGACUCACACCCCCAGCCCAGGCUCAUCCAAGCGCUGAGCUCUCGCUCUUCGCAGAACCUCUGGAGCAGUUCCUGCUCUC